UCUUCCCUCUGGCGGCGUGCCUAAUACAUGCAAGUCGAGCGAACAGAUGAGGAGCUUGCUCCUCUGACGUUAGCGGCGGACGGGUGAGUAACACGUGGAUAACCUACCUAUAAGACUGGGAUAACUUCGGGAAACCGGAGCUAAUACCGGAUAAUAUAUUGAACCGCAUGGUUCAAUAGUGAAAGACGGUUUUGCUGUCACUUAUAGAUGGAUCCGCGCCGCAUUAGCUAGUUGGUAAGGUAACGGCUUACCAAGGCAACGAUGCGUAGCCGACCUGAGAGGGUGAUCGGCCACACUGGAACUGAGACACGGUCCAGACUCCUACGGGAGGCAGCAGUAGGGAAUCUUCCGCAAUGGGCGAAAGCUUGACGGAGCAACGCCGCGUGAGUGAUGAAGGUCUUCGGAUCGUAAAACUCUGUUAUUAGGGAAGAACAAAUGUGUAAGUAACUAUGCACGUCUUGACGGUACCUAAUCAGAAAGCCACGGCUAACUACGUG
rnacentral:rRNA from 1 species